CGCCGAAGGUGGGGCUAAUGACUGGGGUGAAGUCGUAACAAGGUAGCCGUACCGGAAGGUGCGGCUGGAUCACCUCCUAACAGGGAGACAACAAAAUGUUUAAUAUUAUUUUGUCACCUUAGGUCGAUCGGUAUCUCACGUUCUUAACUAAUUAAGAAUUUCAAUUCCUAAGUUUUUCUAGGUCACACCCAUUAUUUUUCCUGGGCCAUUAGCUCAGGUGGUUAGAGCGCACCCCUGAUAAGGGUGAGGUCCCUGGUUCAAGUCCAGGAUGGCCCAUAUCUCUAUGUUGGGGGUAUAGCUCAGUUGGUAGAGCGCCUGCUUUGCAAGCAGGAUGUCAGCGGUUCGAGUCCGCUUACCUCCACUGAUUACCACCUCUUCCAUAAUUUAUAGAAAGGAAAUUUUUUGAGUUGUGAUCAACUUCUGAACGAAUCUAGCUUCCUAAUGAAAGCAUUAAGAUGCUGGACUCAUUGAAUUAAUUUCAUUGUUUUCAGAGAACCUUGACAACUGCAUAGAUUAUUUUUUAAAGACAAUAAGCAUCUUUAAUGAUGCAGAUUUAUUAUUUGUGCGAAUGCAUUAAUAACAAUUCUAUUAAGCUGAUGCUUCAAUUUUGAAGUUAUUGGUCAAGCUACAAAGGGCUCACG
rnacentral:misc_RNA from 1 species